AGAGGAGGGACAGAGAGACAGAGACACAGAAUCUGAAGCAGGCUCCAGGCUCUGAGCUGUCAGCACAGAGCCUGAGGUGGGGCUCCAACUCAGGAACCAGGAGAUCAUGACCUGAGCUAAAGUCGGCUGCAUAACCGACUGAGCCACCCAGGCAUGCCAUGAGCUUGGGAGAGGGCUCUGGGAUGCUUAAGAUGCUGCCUAGUGGCUGAAGGGAGAGAGUCACAGACACAAGUCCUGGCACCAGGGGGAUGCUAGAGGGGCACUCUGAGGCUGCAGAGCUCUGGAGGCUUUCCAAGAGGAAGAGAUACCUUCCCAGCCCAGCCUGGAGGUGUCCAGCCUGUGGAGGCUUUAUCAACUUCCUGCGGCCUUCCGCGUUCAUUGGCCAACAGAACACAGUAGAAGUAUUGAUGCACCUAUUCUGAGCCUAGAUCCCAGUACUGUGUGUGUCUGCUUUCUCUCUGGAACCUCUACCAUGCCAUGCAAACAAGCCCUGGCCAGUCUGCUAGAAGAUGAGAAACUUCAUGGAGCAAAGAUAAUCAUCUUAACUGCUCAUCUUGCACUUGAAUUAAUUAGCUGAUGAGCACAUUCAUGAAUAACAAUAACUGACAAUUAUCUUAAGCCAGAGAAUUUGGGGGUAAUUUUUAUGGAGCAAUAACCAACUGACACAUAGCAUUAACAUUUCCCCUCUAAUUAUGCAGUUGUCAAUUUGUCUUUAUACUUUUGGUACUUUUACUUUUUAUAUUUUUGAGGCUAUGAAUUCAGGUGUAUGUAAUUUUAUGAUUUCUUAUCAUCUUUGUGUUUUACAUCUUUUACCAAUGUAAGUGUAUCUUGUAUUCAUGUGAAAUGUAUUCCCUGUAAACAUCACAUUUAUAUUUUGAGCAAUAUGAACAUUGAUGUAGCACUUUUAUUUGGGUUGCUUUUUGGCUGGUAUGCUUUUUGCCCCAACUCAUAUAUAUUUAAAUGCUCUGUGGAUUUUUGUUCUGAUUGUGUCUUCUUAUGUGUGGUCCACCAUUCCUUUGCUUCUUUUUGUUGUCUCUUUCUGUGUUUUCUGUUGAAUUAUCAAGUCCUCCCACUUUGUUUUUUUGUUAUCUGUUUGAAAAUUCAGAUUUCAAAAAGCUAAUAAGUAAUAUCUUGCUUUUUCCUCUUGUGUGUUCUGAAGCAACUGAGAGAUAGACAAGAGAGUAAGGCAGACAGAGGUCAAAUGCCACCUGUAUUACUAACAAAGGUUUUGGAGAAUGUGACUCUAAGUCUGUUGUCUCUGAAUUAGGUAGAAUUACCUGGUCCCUAGUAGUGCUGAGUAACCACAGAACUCCUUCCUCAGGGACAAAGUUGAGCAGAGCAGAAUGUGUGUUCUCUCCUGAUAAGCAGAUCCCAAGGGAGGAAGAAGAUUAGAAGGGGCUGAGCUAAGCAUUCAGUUAUGUUGGAGGAGGUCAUCGAGAGGAUAUGACCACUGUUGACUCAUGAGCUGGAUCUGGGCAGUUAGAGGCUCCUCACUGUCUCCCUGUCCUUGGAAUGUAUGUUCUGCCCAUCAUUCCCAAGUGGGAGCUGUUCCAAGGACAUAGCCUUAUGAGAGUAAGGGGUUGUUGAGACCAUCUGGGCAGUAUACAUGACUGAAACCAGUUAAAUCCUCCAUUUAAACUUCUAAGAGUCCGGCGGGCAGGUAUGGAAACUUUCUUGUCUUAUGGCAAGCCUCCUAUGCAGAUUUCCUUGCUUAUUAAGACUGUUACCUGCCGGUCUGGAGUAGGCUGGCUCUUUCUUCAGUCUCUCCUUGCCCUCAGUGUACAGGGGCCGGUUUGCAAACCAACAAGUUGCCUUUCCUAAACUAUCAUUCAGAGAAGUAAUUUUGACUCUCCCAGACAAGAGUGAGAAGGAGUGGCCCGAGUGCCCAGGAAUACUAUUUUAAUAAAAAUCACCCCUAGAAACACAAGUGGAGGCAUAGGUAUUCUUAGAAAAUAAAUAGUAUAUUCCACAUCUGUUCUCUUAGUUAUUAUGCCCACAUUUUUAGUAUAUCUUUCCUAUGGCUGUUGUAACAAUUACCACAAAUUAGGGGGUUUAAAACAACACACAUUUAUUCUUGUACUGUUCUAGAGGCCAGAAGUCUGAUAGCAGUAUCCUGGGUGACAGCAGGGUCAUGCUUCUUCCAGGUGCUCUCGGGCACGGAUCUCUUCCUUUUCUUUUCCACCUCCGAGACUUCCAUCUUCAAAGGCAGAUGUUUAGCGUCUUGCUUUGGUCAUUACACUGACUCUGUCUCUGCUCUCAUCACAUUUCUUAUGUGGACACUUAUGAUUACGUUUAAGACCCACCUGAACAUUCCAGUGUUGUUGUCCCGUCUCGGGAUCCUUAAUCCCAGCUGCAACGUCCCUUUGUCAUAUAAAAUAAUAUUCACAGGCUCUGGAGAUUCGGACAUGGCUGUCUCUGGGGGACAUUACUCAGUCUAACGCCCAUAUAUAGUUAACAUUUUUAUUUCUCCAACAAGUCUAAACUUAGAGCCUCCUUUCUGUCCUUCUCCCAAAUAAGCCGGGACUUAAUGUUGUUGUCUAUGAUUUUUAAUUCUAACAUUUUAAAAUGUACACAUUAUGGUUGUUUGACUAUUAUAAAUAUUUACUGAGAUUACCAAUGUGGUUUUAUGAUGUCUACUUACUACUUUUUGCAUAUCAUUCCUUUCUUCUGGGUUCAUUUUCCUUGCAUCUCAAGUAUGUUUUUUAGAAGUUAGUUUAUUCUGAUUUUUAUCUUUCUAUAAAAAUUUGUAUCUAAAAUUGUUUUUAAUCCAUCUUCCCUUUCAAUUUAAUUUAGUUGAUUAUAGAAUUUUAGGUUCAUGAUAUUGUUUUUUUCCUCAGAAUUGUACCACAGUUCCUAGCAGAGAACUAGAACCUCUGGAUGAAUGAAUGAAUUUUGCAGACAUUAGGAAAAUAGAAUAGUGAAAAUAAUCCUGGAUUAGGGGUCAGAAAAACUGGCCUUAAAUGCCAGAUCUUCUACUUAUUACAAUUAGGCUUUGGAAAGCCAUUUAACAUAAUAAUCUCACUUGAAAAUUGGAAUAAUAGUCUUCACCCUAAUUCACAACAUCCUUGUCAGUCUUAAAAAAAAUAAUGAAUUUGCAAAUUAUGUAUGGUGAAAUUGUACAACUUCUUAGUAAUUGAUUAUUUAUUAUUAUGAUUUAGAAUUGUUGAUAAGGUUGGUUUAUUUUUCAUUGCUAUACAAUAGAAUUAUUUAUGUUUCAUAGAUGUAAUUCUCAACUGUGGAAUUUAAGUAGAUCAAUUCAUAAAAAGUAUACUGCCCCAGCAAAAAUAGACAUUGUAUAAUUAAAGAUUCUCCUCUAGUAUAUCAAUAUAGUGCUUUCAUUAUGAUGGUUUUUGAAAUAACUUUAAGUAUAAAUGCUUAAUUGGAAAACUUGAUAUCCUUUGCAGUAAUGUUUUCUUGACAGGAAAUUACUUAUAUGAGAUUAUUUUAGCAAAUUGAUUACAUCUGUAGUUUAGAAUGAAUAAUGACCCAGAAUCCAUAAUGGUUAGAAACAUUUUUUUUUCCCUUUGCAUUGCUAUCAGUCACACCAAGCAUUUUAUCCUCACAGAUAAGAUUUUCAAAGAAGCUAUUAGAGAUGAGGUUGAGGGAACAAGAUGGAUUUGUUUUGGCAUAAGGAUGGAGUUAACUCUUCCAUAUCCUACAAAGACACAAACACACACAUAUAUGUUUUAAUAGAAGAGUCAUCUAGUUAAAUUAUUCUUGUCUGCCUUGGUGGUGUUUGCUCAGCUUACUUAGAGAAACUGGUUAUCUGCAGAUUAUCAUCCCUAUCUCUUUGUCACCCCCUGAAAUUGAGGAGAAAUUAUUUCUGUUUUUGCCUGGUCACACUCAGUUAUGUUUGAUGGGCCUCCUCAGAAUUUAAAUUGAUCAGUUUCCUAAUCCUCCACUUUGAAAUAAAAUACUCAGCUGUUAUUGGUUCCCAAUAUAGAUAUUAGAAAUGCUUAUUAGUCUGUAAGGCUUUCUUCCACACUUUGGCACAAACACCUCAUUUACCAAAGUGGUUAUAAUGAUGGAAAUAGAAGCUAAAGCAUCAGUUCAUAAUGGGUAGAAGGAGGUGGGUAGCAGCUGGGUUCAGCAGGUUGAUUGCUAUUUGUCCCCUUGGGCAUUUUCCAGAGAAACCUUUAAGAUUUAUUCUCAUCAUGUUGCAGAGUCAUGAACCUAAGGGACUGCCACUUAAUGUCCCAACUAGAGACCAAUUUUCUUUGAUAUUCAUUGGGAUGGACACAGGUACAACUUUACCCCUCAGAUUUUAGGUCUCAAACUAUUAAUAACCUGUUUACAAUUGCUUUUAUAUUUUUUCAGCUAAUCUUGGCAUGUUAAGGGUUCUAUUGCCAUGAGCACAGUGAUUGGUACAGAAGAGAGGAAAGUAAACAUUACAUGUAAAAUGAAUGAAAACUUUUAAUUUCUCCUUUUAAAAAAAUUGAAGUACUAUUUUUUUAGAGGCCAA